rnacentral:rRNA from 1 species
GUUAUCGUUUAUUUGACAGUACCUUACUACAUGGAUAACCGUGGUAAUUCUAGAGCUAAUACAUGCUAAAAACCUCGACUUCGGAAGGGGUGUAUUUAUUAGAUAAAAAACCAAUGCCCUUCGGGGCUCCCUGGUGAUUCAUAAUAACUUAACGAAUCGCAUGGCCUUGUGCCGGCGAUGGUUCAUUCAAAUUUCUGCCCUAUCAACUUUCGAUGGUAGGAUAGUGGCCUACCAUGGUUUCAACGGGUAACGGGGAAUUAGGGUUCUAUUCCGGAGAAGGAGCCUGAGAAACGGCUACUACAUCCAAGGAAGGCAGCAGGCGCGCAAAUUACCCAAUCCCGACACGGGGAGGUAGUGACAAUAAAUACUGAUACAGGGCUCUUUUGAGUCUUGUAAUUGGAAUGAGUACAAUUUAAAUACCUUAACGAGGAACAAUUGGAGGGCAAGUCUGGUGCCAGCAGCCGCGGUAAUUCCAGCUCCAAUAGCGUAUAUUAAAGUUGUUGCAGUUAAAAAGCUCGUAGUUGAACCUUGG